GGAAUGCAAGGUGUGUGAUAAAACAGUUAUGUCAAUAGCUGAUGGACUUCCAAGGAGAGCCAAUAGUGGAGGUUGCACCAUAAUAAUCAGCAAGGUGUUUUUUGACAUGAGCCGAAGUGGAAAUUCUUAGAAUGGUUUAUUCUAAGUGGCGAUACUCUUUAUGGUGGAGUAUGACAUGUGUUCAGCAAUGUGGAGUAUGACGGAUAGCUGCUGCUAUGAUCAUUUUUAAUCAAGGUGGAGUUUGUUGGG
rnacentral:lncRNA from 1 species